AGUACUACUAGUACAAGUACUAGUACUAAUAAUAGAAAUACUUGUAGUACUUUUAUUAAUACUUGUACGUUCUACUAGUACUAGUACUAC
rnacentral:tRNA from 1 species